GCGGUAGCUCGGUGGUAGAGCGCUCUCUUGGUAAGGGAGACGUCGAGAGUCGAACGUCUUCGAUCGCAUCA
rnacentral:tRNA from 1 species